CGGGGCCGUUUGCUACCUCGAUGUCGGCUUGUCUCAUCCUGGCGCUGAAGCAGGUGCCAAGGGGUGGGCUGAUCGCCCAUUAAAGAGGCGCACUAGCUGGGUUCAGAGCGUCGUAAGACAGCUCGGUCCUUAUCUACAGCGGGCGUUGUGCAAUUGAGGAAACCUGAUCCUAGUACGAGAGGACCGGAUUGGGCAAACCUCUGGUGUACCAGUUGUUCUACCAAGGGCAUUGCUGGGUAGCUACGUUUGUUUCGAAUAAGUGCUGAAAGCAUAUAAGCACGAAGCCGUUACCAAGAUUAAUUGCAUUAUGCCCUCCUUGGAGAAUACAAGGUUGAUAGGCGGCAGGUAUAAGCACAGCAAUGUGUUCAGCCGAGCCGUACUAAUGGGAUUUUUCUUUUU
rnacentral:rRNA from 1 species